rnacentral:rRNA from 1 species
GAUGAACGCUGGCGGCGUGCCUAAUACAUGCAAGUCGAGCGAACAGACGAGGAGCUUGCUCCUCUGACGUUAGCGGCGGACGGGUGAGUAACACGUGGAUAACCUACCUAUAAGACUGGGAUAACUUCGGGAAACCGGAGCUAAUACCGGAUAAUAUAUUGAACCGCAUGGUUCAAUAGUGAAAGACGGUUUUGCUGUCACUUAUAGAUGGAUCCGCGCCGCAUUAGCUAGUUGGUAAGGUAACGGCUUACCAAGGCAACGAUGCGUAGCCGUCCUGAGAGGGUGAUCGGCCACACUGGAACUGAGACACGGUCCAGACUCCUACGGGAGGCAGCAGUAGGGAAUCUUCCGCAAUGGGCGAAAGCCUGACGGAGCAACGCCGCGUGAGUGACGAAGGUCUUCGGAUCGUAAAACUCUGUUAUUAGGGAAGAACAAAUGUGUAAGUAACUAUGCACGUCUUGACGGUACCUAAUCAGAAAGCCACGGCUAACUACGUG